AGCGAACGCUGGCGGCAGGCUUAACACAUGCAAGUCGAACGGGCACUUCGGUGCUAGUGGCAGACGGGUGAGUAACACGUGGGAACGUACCUUUCGGUUCGGAAUAAUCCAGGGAAACUUGGACUAAUACCGGAUACGCCCUUCGGGGGAAAGAUUCAUCGCCGAUAGAUCGGCCCGCGUCUGAUUAGCUAGUUGGUGAGGUAAUGGCUCACCAAGGCGACGAUCAGUAGCUGGUCUGAGAGGAUGAUCAGCCACAUUGGGACUGAGACACGGCCCAAACUCCUACGGGAGGGAGGAGGGGGGGAUAUUGGAAAAUGGGGGGAAGGCUGAACCAGCCAUGGCGGGGGAGUGAAGAAGGCCUUAGGGUUGUAAAGCUCUUUUGUCCGGGAAGAUAAUGACUGUACCGGAAGAAUAAGCCCCGGCUAACUUCGUG
rnacentral:rRNA from 1 species